CAUAGGGGAGAGUGCUGGUGGCACUGCCCAGGUGCCUUCAGUGGGAGCUGUGGGACAGCCCCUGUGAGGAGAGGAUGGGGCUGCCCUGACAGGACUCCAGGCAGCCCCAAAACAGAGCCAGCACUGGCCACAGCUGGGCCCAUCAGCAGUGCUGGUGCUGCCUCGGUGAUAACGUGUUUAAGAAAGGGUAAAACCAGCUGUGUGUCAACUCUGCAAGAGGAGUGAGAAAAUAUCAUACAGCCAUCGGUAUAUCAAGGUCAGAAAGGAUGAUGAUGAGGAGGAUUUUGAGGCUCUGAAGCAGAGAUUUCCUUACAGCCCAUGGAGAGAUGUCUAUGAAGCAGGUUUAUCCUAAAGAACUGUAGCUCAUGGCUGGAUCCACACUGGAGUAGUGGAAAAGUCUGAAAAGGAAGAAGUAGCAAAUAAGAACUUUAAGGACUGCCCCAUUCCCUGUCCCCCUGCACUGCUCAGGAUGGGAAGAUGUUGAAGAAUAAGAAAUGGACAUGUGAAACUGGGUGGGAGAAAGGCAAACUCGGGAACUGUGGACAGGAUGAGUGGACAGUGAGAUGGAUGAGAACUGACUGAAUGGCAGUCCCCAGAGGGUCAUGAUCAAGAAUAUCAUCAGGAACCAGGAGUAGCUAGGGGCCUGUCAGUAAUGGUGACCCCCAUGACUCAAUAUUGGACCCAGUACUGUUUGACUUAUUCACGAAUGACUUGGAUGAAGGGCAGAUGUCUCCUCACCAAAGUUCCUGAUGACAGCUGGGAGGAGUGGCCGAAACCCCAGAGUGCUGUGCAGCCCUCCAGGAGGGCCUUGAGAGGCAGGAGAGAUGGACAGAGAACUGAAAUUCAGCAAAGGCAAAUGCAGGGUUGUACAUCUGGGCAGGAAUAAACUCAUGUACCUGCACAGACUUGGGGCUGACCUGCUGGAAACAGCGCCAUAGAGAAGGAGCUGGGGGUCCCGGUGGACAACAGGCUCUCCAUGAGCCAGCCAGUUAAAUCCUGCCUCAGGGAGCACCAGUCCUCUUUGUGCUUCACACAACAUUGAGUCUGAUUCUUGGCUGGACUGCAGGCACUCUUUUAAUGGUAGCAAGUAUUUGGGAAGAUGACUUGUAUCAUGAAAGUAUGGCCCAAAUUGUCAGCUUUAUGAUAUCUCUGUUCACUUACAGCACAUCCUUAAUGUGCUUGUGUUUCAGUCUAGUGGCUUGACUGUACCACAUGUAAACAUGCCAACUCUUUUAAAACUAGCUUGCCUGGGGACACACAGCAGUUUAGCCAUGAUAAUUGGGGAUUUCUGUGCUUAGCAGCACCUCAUGUAUGCCUUUCAUAUCUCUUGCAGAUGAAUCCUUUGGUACCUGAGCCUGUCUCAACCAAAAUCUGCUACAAAAUUUUUAGUCAAAGGUGCAGAGUAGACUACUGGAAAAAUAAAUUUUGGGUUUGCAAUAA